UUUUCUCAAAGUCAGGCAGGAAACUUAAUUGUGUGCACUCUCUACCCUUACGCAUAUUUUACAAUUGGAACGAAUUAAUUUCAUGAUACCACAAUGGACGAGAGCUACUCCCCCAUAUUCGCAUUGCUUCCAGAGACCGUCAAAAAUAUCAGUCUUUCUACCAAGGACCGACCUCAUUGCGUGCACAUCGGUCAAUUCGACGUGGGAAUGCCAAGCCC